rnacentral:rRNA from 1 species
AGAGCGAACGCUGGCGGCAUGCUUAACACAUGCAAGUCGCACGGGCAUUUCGGUGUCAGUGGCGGACGGGUGAGUAUCGCGUAGGGAUUUAUCGUUGGGUGGGGGAUAACCCUGGGAAACUGGGGCUAAUACCGCAUGACGCCUGUGGGCCAAAGCAGCAAUGCGCCUGAUGAGGAGCCUGCGUUCGAUUAGCUUGUUGGUGGGGUUAUGGCCUACCAAGGCGACGAUCGAUAGCUGGUCUGAGAGGAUGAUCAGCCACACUGGGACUGAGACACGGCCCAGACUCUUACGGGAGGCAGCAGUGGGGAAUAGUUGGACAAUGGGCGCAAGCCUGAUCCAGCAAUGCCGCGUGGAUGAAGAAGGUUUUCGGAUUGUAAAGUCCGUUUCGGCGGGGACGAUGAUGACGGUACCCGCAGAAGACGCCCGGCUAACUUCGUGCCAGCAGCCGCGGUAA